CCAGCGUCUGGAGGCUAACCCGAGGGAGAGGGAAGGGGCUGGAAGGUGGCAGUUAAAGGACAAGUGUCUCGCGCCUCCCAGGUUCCUGCUUAAAGAGACCUGGCCUGUGGAGAGCCUGGCGGGCUCAGUGAGUGGAGCGAGCCACUCGAUCUUGGGGUGGGGGAAAAGAGCUUCAUCCGCCGAGUUGGUAGAUUCUGGCCGUGUGCUCACGUCCUCACGGACCUCGCGGUUCCGGCGCACUCGGGUAGGAUCAAUUAAUGACUCAGAAAUCUUUGAAGCAUCAUUCAUCUAUUCCCCUACAGGCAAGAAAUCAUGUUGAAUGGGAACUCAUUGUGAGCAGUGUCGGAAAGACUUGAGUGAAUGCUCAUACCUUUAGACACACAGGAGAACUCAGAAUGGAGGGAACACUUAUGAGAGUAAGGAAUAUGGAAAAGGCUUCCUUUCUCUGCAGGAGAAACCCUGUAGUGGAGACCCAGACUUCCUGGGUUUAAACAACACAGAAAAAACCAUCUGACUCCAAAUAUUUUGGACUGGAAAACCAGCACCCAAGAGAAAACCUUCACAUGCAGUGACAGUGGGAAGGCCUUCCAUGAUCAAUCUUACUUCAAAGGACAAAUGACAACUCAUGAUGGAGAAGAAAAAACAUGUGAAAGCAAGGAAGGUGAGACACCCGUUCUUCACGAGUGCAUGAAGAAACUUCCGCUGCUAACGGAUUUAUGAAUGUGAGGAAUGUGGUGAAAAUAUUCCUUGUUGUGCAAACCUUUACAUACGCAUGUUAAUUGACAGGAGAGAAACCCUAUAAAUGUAAGGAAGUGAGAAAGCCUUUGUUACAUCUCCCAAUUUUAAGAGACCUACAAGAUUUGAUACUGAAGAGAGUACCUUUGUAUGUAAGAAUGUGGAAAGAGUUCCUCAUGUCUUAAUCACACUGGAAUAAAGUACUACCAGUGUAAGCAAUGUGGGAAAACCUAUGCUGCAUUCUCAAAACAUACUGAACAUAACUACAAGCUCACACUAUGGAGAAGCCUUUUAAAUGUGACAAACAUAGGAAAGCCUUUACUGCUUCCUCGCGUUUUGUUAAUCCUCUCAACUCACAAUGGAGAGAAACUGAGUGUAGUCUGUGUGUGGGAAAGCAUU